GAACUUCUUCGUUAGGUGAGGCUCCUGCAUAAACACAGGCCACUGCCCGGAAACGUCGAAAGACGCCAAUGGGUAGAACAGGUAUUACCGAAUUAAGGUUUUACUCAAGGUGGCUGAGGAAUAGUGUACCUCUACGUUAUGCAGUGCUAAAACUCAACGAUUGGAGAAGGUC
rfam:Pelosinus fermentans B4 ctg29, whole genome shotgun sequence.